AUGGGGAGCCAUCUCACUGACCCAUGGGUGUCCAUCACACCUCAGCCCAUGGGGACCCAUCUCACUGACCCAUGGGUGUCCAUCACACCCACCCAUGGGGUGCCCAUCGCGCUGACCCAUGGGUGCCCAUCACACCCCGGUUUGUGGUGUGCCCAUCACCCCGACAUGUGGGCUCCAACAGGGACGGUGUCCAAGCCCCAGCCGGUUGUCACUGCAGCAGGGAUGCUUUCUGCCAGGCAGCGAGCGCCYGAGCUUCGCGCCGGUGAAGGUGCAGGAUGCGUUGGGGUCUUUACCGCCAGCGUCCGCUCUGGGUCAGAGCCCGGCGAGGGCCAGGCAGCACCCAGAGGCGUCACGAAAGGGCAGGGGGUGCAAAGGGUGGUGGACGCCGGGUCUGAAACGCCCCUGCGUGCCCCCGGCGUCCCGGUGGGCUCCGUCCGCGCGGCCGGGCCGAGUGCCGGUGCAGCCCCGGCUCGGCGGCAGUGGCGUUGCUCACCCCUCGGCUGGGUCCGGGGGGCGAUCCGGACCCCCGCGCUGCCGCCCCGGCCCCCGCCUCCCCCUCGGCACCGGGCUUUGGCCGGAGCCCGGCUCCGGGCGCAGCCCUGCCGCGUUCCCGCCCCGCUGGCCCGGCAAGGUUAAACUCGCGGAGAGGCUGAAAUAUUUGGGAGGGGAAUGUAAAGGCAAAUCAAAUCUUUUGUUUUUGUGCAGGAGAAAGGGGAGGAAAAAAAAAAAAGAAAAAAAGAAAGUUCUAUAAAAAGAACGUUUAAAAACACAAGUUAAAGAAAAAAAAUACCAGGCGCGGAGUGCAGCUGCGGUUCUGGUUCCAGUUCCCAGGUGAUGUCAGGCCUGGAGCGUCUCCAGCCCCGGCCCCUCGGAGACGGUCUUUGUGGGUUCAGCACUGAGUGUUUUUCCUUCCUGAGACUCGGGGACACCUUCCUGUCUCAGAGAGAGCAGCCAAGAGCCGUUCCAAGGGUGUCCGAGCGCAGGAAAGGGAGAGGAUGGGAGGGGAGCGGGAGCGCGGCGGCGCGGCCGGGAGCCCCCACGGACCCCCGCGCUGCCCCCGGCGGGGCCAAGGGGCGCCGGGCUCCCAGCAGCCCCCAGCUCCCGCGCCUCUGAGUCACGCUUCCCUCUUGCAGCGCUGGGAGGGGCUGGAAUGCACUGGGAUCCGCCACCCCGGCACUGGGACCUGCUGGGAUACGCUGGGACCCAGGGCCCCGGCAAUGGGACGCGCUGGGACCCAGGGCCCCGGCAAUGGGAGGUGAUGGGACACACUGGGACCCGCCGCCCCCUCACUGGGACCUGCUGGGAUACACUGGGACCCAGGGCCUCGGCAAUGGGACACGCUGGGACCCAUGACCCCAUCACUGGGAGGUGAUGGGACACACUGGGACCCGCUGCCCCCUCACUGGGACCUGCUGGGAUACACUGGGACCCAGGGCCCUGGCACUGGGACACAUGAGGAUCCACAGUUCUGGUACUGGGACAUGCUUGGAUCUGACGCCUGGUACUUGGACGUGCUGGGAUACACUGGGACCCAUGGCCCCAGCACUGGGAGGUGAUGGGACACACUGGGACCCGCCGCCCCCUCACUGGGACAUGCUGGGAUACGCUGGGACCCAGGUCCCCGGCAUUAGGACAU
ensembl:lncRNA